GACGAACGCUGGCGGCGUGCCUAAUACAUGCAAGUAGAACGCUGAAGGAGGAGCUUGCUCUUCUGGAUGAGUUGCGAACGGGUGAGUAACGCGUAGGUAACCUGCCUGGUAGCGGGGGAUAACUAUUGGAAACGAUAGCUAAUACCGCAUAACAGUAGAUGUUGCAUGACAUUUGCUUAAAAGGUGCAAUUGCACCACUACCAGAUGGACCUGCGUUGUAUUAGCUAGUUGGUGGGGUAACGGCUCACCAAGGCGACGAUACAUAGCCGACCUGAGAGGGGGAUCGGCCACACUGGGACUGAGACACGGCCCAGACUCCUACGGGAGGCAGCAGUGGGGAAUCUUGGGAAAUGGAGGGAAUUCUGACCGAGCAACGCCGCGUGAGUGAAGAAGGUGUUGGGAUCGUAAAGCUCUGUUGUAAGAGAAGAACGGGUGGGAGAGGGGAAAGUUCACACUGGGACGGUAUUUUACCAGAAAGGGACGGCUAAUUACGU
rnacentral:rRNA from 1 species